CACAACAGCAACCUUUCGACCCCAAAAGGUCUUUGUCAAGCUGAUACAUACAUGAUACAUACACCUAUGUAUGUAUCAGCUUGACAAAGACCUUUUGGGGUCGAAACGUUGCUUUU
rnacentral:miRNA from 1 species